rnacentral:rRNA from 1 species
AACGAACGCUGGCGGCAUGCCUAACACAUGCAAGUCGAACGAGAUCUUCGGGUCUAGUGGCGCACGGGUGCGUAACGCGUGGGAAUCUGCCCUUUGGUUCGGAAUAACAGUUGGAAACGACUGCUAAUACCGGAUGAUGACGAGAGUCCAAAGAUUUAUCGCCAGAGGAUGAGCCCGCGUAGGAUUAGCUAGUUGGUGUGGUAAAGGCGCACCAAGGCGACGAUCCUUAGCUGGUCUGAGAGGAUGAUCAGCCACACUGGGACUGAGACACGGCCCAGACUCCUACGGGAGGCAGCAGUGGGGAAUAUUGGACAAUGGGCGAAAGCCUGAUCCAGCAAUGCCGCGUGAGUGAUGGAGGCCUUAGGGUUGUAAAGCUCUUUUACCCGGGAUGAUAAUGACAGUACCGGGAGAAUAAGCUCCGGCUAACUCCGUGCCAGCCGCCGCGGUAA